UUGCAAUGAUGAAUCUGGUUCCAAAGUCAUUCGUAGUUUCCACCAGAAGUCCAAUGAUGGCCAAAAGCUUCCUUGGAUGUCUGAGCGA